AAGUCGUAACAAGGUUUCCGUAGGUGAACCUGCGGAAGGAUCAUUACCAAAUAUCUGUGAGUGCUUUACAGCGCUACACAUUAGUGCUUGCACCGUGGUGCAUUGCAUAAACGCUUUAUUGUAUUAUUAUAAAUGACACUUUAACUAAAGAUCACUUUUAACAAUGGAUCUCUAGGCUCUU
rnacentral:misc_RNA from 1 species